GCAUAUAUGGCUGAGUGGUCGAAAGCACCGGACUCAUAAUCCGUUUUCUUAUCUAAGGACACCGUAGGUUCAAACCCUACUAUAUGCACC
rnacentral:tRNA from 2 species